AAAUGCAAGUACACAGGACCAGGAUCCCAGACCUUCGAGGUGUGAAAAAAAAGCGUAGUAGUUGACUUUAUUGUCUUCUUUCGCUGAAAAAGAACGCCCCGUUUUGUUUUGGGACCUGCUGUGCAAAUUCGCAGGAAGAAAAGGAAUCUCCUUUUUCACUUCUUGAUCUGAAAUCAGGUAGGACUACCCGCUGAACUUAA
rnacentral:misc_RNA from 1 species